rnacentral:rRNA from 1 species
GAUGAACGCUGGCGGCGUGCUUAACACAUGCAAGUCGAACGGGAUCCCAGGAGCUUGCUCCUGGGUGAGAGUGGCGAACGGGUGAGUAAUGCGUGACCGACCUGCCCCAUACACCGGAAUAGCUCCUGGAAACGGGUGGUAAUGCCGGAUGCUCCGACAUGACGCAUGUCGUGUCGGGAAAGAUUCUAUCGGUAUGGGAUGGGGUCGCGUCCUAUCAGCUUGAUGGCGGGGUAACGGCCCACCAUGGCUUCGACGGGUAGCCGGCCUGAGAGGGCGACCGGCCACAUUGGGACUGAGAUACGGCCCAGACUCCUACGGGAGGCAGCAGUGGGGAAUAUUGCACAAUGGGCGCAAGCCUGAUGCAGCGACGCCGCGUGCGGGAUGACGGCCUUCGGGUUGUAAACCGCUUUUGAUCGGGAGCAAGCCUUCGGGUGAGUG